AAAUAUUGUGUGGUCAUUUGAUUUAUGAAGGAUAAAGAAAUACUUUUUUUUGUACUUUUUUGUUUUUUCCGUGCUUAAUACUUUUUGUUUCCUGUAGCCUGUACCGAGGUACCGAGCCUUGAGAGAUUUGUGGGGUGGGGUGGGGUGGGAGAUGCGGUUGGUGGAAUGAAAAUGCGACUUUUAUAGAGCAGUGAUGUUCUCAGUAAAGAUGGGACAAGAAGUGAACAUGUUUUGAAAUGGAACCGAUUGAAUAUUGUUUAGGUAGUUGGUUGUUUGCAAUAUAAUCCAACCUUGCGCUUCUGUGAAUAAGAGAUUGGAUCAAAGUUGAAGGUGCAAAGGACAAGGGGGACGGCUAAAAACCAAAGUUGGUUGGUGAUAGAGACGUGUUAUUAUUGCCUUCCGGCUUGAAGGAGAGGCUUAAAACAUAGUCAGUGGGAUGAUAUUUGGGAAGCAUCCAAGUGGAUCGGAAAUGUGGUAUAAUUAGUUGAUUAAACUAGUACCUAUCUGAUUAUUUUAUUUAUGAAUUCACAUCUAAAUUUGACUUGAAGUAGUUGGGUUGCUCGCUUGCUAAGGUGGUUCACUUGUAUGGCGGUCAUGGACCCAGGUUGAUAGGUCCUUGGGAAGAUCACAAAACUAGGCUGGCCGGCUCGUGAGCAAUUCCUGAGCUUGGUACCUACUAGAUGGAGAGUAGUGUGGAGUCCUCAGAGAGUGCCAGGUGCGAUGGUCUUCCUGAUACCCAUAGGAUUGAGAGAAGAAAACUCUAUUUUUUGUAUGUUUGACUAACUGUAAAGGUUGUGGGUUAAUCUUUGAAAUCCCCUUCAUGGUUGUAAAAGUUUUGUGAAUCUAAUGAAAAUCCCUUGGUUGAUUUAGUGGGUUCGAAUUUGGGAUGCCGGUAGUUGAUGUAGGCAAGUCGCCGAACGACUUUAAAAAUGAUUUUGUUCAUCUUGCCUUUGCAUUCAUGCUUUGUUCGAUUAUUGUAUGUCAAAUGUAUGAGAUGUGAUGAAUGGUUAGCACCCACGUACUUCAUAUCCCCAAAGCUUUUGAAGCCUUGACACAUUCGCACCUCAUGAUGUAAACGCGAAUGUGCGACAUAACCAUUAGGAAUCGAACGCGAUACCUCUGAGUGUUAGCUCGUGUACCUGACGUCCGCCCGGAAUGACUAUGCCAUAUGCCCGGAGUAUGGUAAAACUCGAAACCAAGACUUACAUCUUGGAUAGGAUCGCUCUUACCACUUGGGCUAACCUUGUCUUUGGUGUAGGGAUUUUUCUUGCUCUUGCUGGUUUUGGUCUUCUCUCCCUCCCACUUCAAAAUAUUAUUUUGGGUAAAUUCCGCUUACCUCCCCUGAGUUUAUGACAAAUAUAUAAUUACUUUUCUUAGUUUACAAAAUAAAUAUUAACUCCCAUGACUUUUGAAAUAAUUGUUAAUUCGCCUUAAGCUAAAUUUUGUGCAAAAAAGACAGAAGGGGUCAGCAGUGGGAGGGACGUGCAAUUUUGUUCUUAAUAAAACAAUUUUAAAAUAAAUAAAAUAUUUUCUCUUUUUAAAAAAAUGAUAAUAAAAUUUAUUUUUUUUAAGUUAUAUUUAGUAGAGGACUUGAUGAACGUUAAAAUAUUUAGAUAGGUUUUUAAAAAAAAUAGUAAGUAGAAAUUUUUUUGAUAGUAUAUUUUUAUUAAGAAUUAAAAAUUACUUAGAUCAAUCUUUUUAAAAAAAAUUAUUAUUGAUAAGAAAUAAAAGGUAGAAAUAAUUAUAAAUAAAUGGAUUUUGAGGGAAAAAAAUAGAAUAUUUAUUUAUUUUAAUGGGUUUUUUGGUGGGUGGUGGUUGUGUUGUGUUGUUUGUAUUGAGGAAAAAAAAAUUGAAAUCCCUAAACCACAAAGGAAAAAAUUUAUUAUUUUUGCAAAAAUUUAGCUUCAGGCGGAGGGAAUUUUGAUUAGAUAUUAGGUUCUAGAAGUAAUGGACGGUGAGUUAGGAGAGGGAAAAAGAAGAGAAGGGGAAGGGAGGGUGGGAGAAAACCUCAGGGGGGGGAGGUCAGUGAAAUUCACCCAAUUAUUUUUCAACAGUUGGCUGUUUUUCUAUUUUCUGUUCAUAUAGAUGUGAUUUUCCUUAUUAUGUCUCACUUGUAUAUCAAAUUUGUUGGAAAUUAAGUUUGAUAUUUUAAUAAAUAUUAAAAUAAAAGUUGUAUCUUUUUAUUUAAAGUGCCUUUUAGAAUUUAUUUUGAACCAAGAGUUGUCUUUGAAAAGACAUUUCUUUUAUGAAAUGGUGUCUUCAAAUUUAUAAAAGGGACUAUCAUACACAUCAUUUGUAAGGUCAAUUCUAAUUUUAUUUCUAUUAUUCUCCUACCAUAAAUACUAUUUUCAUAUUUCUUAGUAAUUAUGAGAAAGACUUGGUACCCCCGUCUUCCACCGAUCACACUCUAUGAGAUUUAUGGGUUGUAUCUUGGAGUGAUAUUCGACCGUCAGAAUCUGCGCGAAGGGACACGAAUACGAUUUUAGACAAAUACUUAUCAUGAUCUUAUCAGUAUCACACUAGCUAUUUCUUUAUUGGAUAUAAUUAUUAAUUUACGUAAGUUAUGUUUAUUAUUUUUUGUAAAUAAUUAAUAAUUUUUUGGUAUUUUAGAUAAAUGCGUGUGAUAAAUUCUCAAACAAAUUUGUGAUGUAAGAGGGAUGAGUGACUUUUGUAAAUGAUAAAAGAAAACUGUUAUUUAAUAUAUAUCAUUAUAAGGUGACGAAAGUAGCAUUAUUUUUUCGUUUGGUUUUCUUUUAAAAGGGGGGAGACCUCUCGCUACCCGUCAGUGGAAGAAGGGAAAUUUGAUUUUGAAUGUUGGUGGAAACCAUUUUUUCUCGUGAAGUGCGCCGCGUUGAUGGAGUGGAACAUUUUCUCAAAGCUAUGUAAUUACUGUCACCUAUGCAAAUUGCAAUGUUGCCUGAAGUUUGUUGGAUGGUUUGUGCCCUGUGAUCUUGAAUUUUUUUUUUUUUAGAAGGGGGGGGGGGGGGGGGGGGGGGGGGGGGACAAAGAGCAAUGAUUUAAAUAUAUAUUGUAUAAAAAUAAAUCCACUUCACAUACUUAUGCUAUUGUGGCGAUGUUUGGGGUUGAUAAAUUGGAAGAACAUGACUCGUUUUUUGAAUUGUAGUUGUAAGCAAUUGCACUUAGACAUUUUACUUGAUUUUUUUAUCUUUUUUAAAAAAGUACAGUUAUAAAUCUUUUUAACGCAUAGUCUAGUAAGAUUGUGCUUGGAUUACAAUUUGAUGGAGGGAAAGGAGAAGGAAAUAAAAAAAAUUAAAAAAUCAAAUAAUUUAGAUUUAUUUUUAUUUAUUUUUACUUUCUUUUCUCUCAAUAAAUUCCUCCCUAAAUCCUUAAUCUAAAUAUAGCCUUCCCUUUUAAAGUUUUACUAUAUGCUUGCAAGUUUUAGAAACAGUUGCAAUAUUCUGCUGCAUUAUUCCCACUACACUAUCAGUUAGCAAAUCUAUAUGAAUCUAUUGAAAUGUCUCACAUUGUCCUUAUGUCUUCUUAAUGUUGUCUAUAAGGUUCAUAUUUUUUUCUCUUUAAUAUAUGAGUUUUAAGCAGAAAGAUGGGCUGAAUCUGACAAGUAGUAUCAGAGAAAGGUUGGACCUUAAUAAGGAAAAAAAAAUUCUAUCAUUUCAAACCACUCAUUUCAACAUAACUUCAACCAUUUCCUCAAUUUAGCGAAAAUUGCUCAAUUGCUAUUCAAUUUUCAUAUAAAAAAUGCGAUUGUGGUUGCUUGAAUUUAAACUUAUGUUUUUAAGAUUUUAAAGUCCAAACAUUUAUGUAAUAUCCCAACUCUCCUAAUAUUCUUUUUAUACCAUCCCAUAUUUUUUUAAUUUUACGAUAAUUUUUGGGCAAUUUUCUAAAUUGAUUUUUUGACCAGAAUUUUGAACAAAAUGUGCGGGAACACCCAUAUUUUUUCCUAUUCUCUCUUGGAGCAUCCAACCCCUUCUUGUUCAUUCUAUUCCUCAUUCACGAGGUGGGAAUUUAGGAUGAGAUGGUGGCAAAAUUGUCGCAUGGCAUUUAGAGAGAACCCUAAUACCUUUGUUUUCAUGUUUAUAUAUAUAUUGAAAUUGCUUGACAAGAGGAAAAUCGAAAAAAAAUAUUGGCCAAAAAAAAAAACAAUUAAAGAAAAAAUGAGAAAAAAAUAUAUUGUUACGCUUUAUUUGACUUUAAAAAUAAAUUAUAAAAUUAUUUUAGAUAAUUAUAGAUAAAUUUUAAUGUAAUAUUUAAAAUGUAUAUAAUGAAUUAUACAUAUUAUUUUAUUUUUAAGUCAUUUAUAAUAGAAAUUAUUAAAUUUUAUUAAAACUUCAGAAUUCUAAAUAAGAUAAAUGAAAGUAAAAAUUUGGCCAAACUACGGGAACAAAUGAUGCAAUUUACCCGGGAAUAAAGGCAACACAUCUAAACCGUCCAUUCAUUUGAGGAUCGUAAGGUGGCGGAGGCUAGGGUUUCGAACAUUCCGGAUAACCGAGAACAACGCGGUAAUACUCCUAUAAAGCCAUCUCUUUCUUCAUCUCCAAAGGAAUUCCAAAACCCUAGAUUACUGUACCUCUCUCUCUCAGAAGUUAUGGCCGGAAAGGGAGAGGGACCAGCGAUCGGAAUCGAUCUCGGCACGACCUACUCGUGCGUCGGGGUAUGGCGGCACGACCGCGUCGAGAUCAUCGCCAACGACCAAGGCAACCGUACGACGCCGUCCUACGUCGGCUUCACCGACACCGAACGGUUGAUCGGCGCCGCCGCCAAGAAUCAGGUCGCCAUGAACUACAUUAACACUGUAUUCGGUAAGACUCCUCUCUCUUUCUCUCUCUAAUUUUAUUUGGAUCUGUUAGUGGCCAUAAUAUGGUCUACCGGAUCUACUAGUUUG
rnacentral:lncRNA from 1 species